CAGAGGGUGCGAGCGUUGUUCGGAAUUACUGGGCGUAAAGCGCGCGCAGGCGGCCCUUUAAGUCCGUCGGUCAAAGUGCCGGGGCUCAACCCCGAGCGUGCCGAGGAUACUGGAGGGCUGGAGACACGUAGAGGCAAGCGGAAUUCCGGGUGUAGCGGUGGAAUGCGUAGAGAUCCGGAAGAACACCGGAGGCGAAGGCGGCUUGCUGGGCGUGAUCUGACGCUGAGGCGCGAAAGCGUGGGGAGCGAACAGGAUUAGAUACCCUGGUAGUCCACGCCGUAAACGAUGGGCACUAGACGCCGGCGGGAUCGACCCCGUCGGUGUCGCAGCUAACGCGAUAAGUGCCCCGCCUGGGGAGUACGGCCGCAAGGCUG
rnacentral:rRNA from 1 species